UACAUGGGGUGCAAACGUUGCUCGGAAUUAUUGGGCGUAAAGCGCACGUAGGCGGUUCGUUAAGUCGGAUGUGAAAGCCCUCGGCUCAACUGAGGAAGUGCACCCGAAACUGGCGAGCUUGAGUACGAAAGAGGAUCGCGGAAUUCCCGGUGUAGAGGUGAAAUUCGUAGAUAUCGGGAGGAACACCGGGUGGCGAAGGCGGCGAUCUGGGUCGAUACUGACGCUGAGGUGCGAAAGCGUGGGGGAGCAAACAGG
rnacentral:rRNA from 1 species